UAUAGCUGGUCACAGGAACAAACUAUGUUGUGAGAUGAAUAGUGGAAAAAUCCCCUUCCUUUUCAGGGCUCAGCUUUUGAUUUCUCGCUGCCAGCGGAGAGGACCAGGUGCACCUCCUGACUCCCAUGUCGUGGUUCUUCAGGGCUCCCAUGGCUUGGGACUCCGCGUCCUCCUGGGCAAAGGGGCCGUGUUCACGGCUAGCUGUGAACUGGAAGGCCAGACUGAGUUUCGAGUUUUUCCAGCUGUAGAGAUGUGUGAAUAA
rnacentral:lncRNA from 1 species